ACGGUUAUAAAUCAACAUAUUGAUUUAUAAGCAUGGAAAUCCCCUGAGUUAAACAACGAAUUGCUGUGUGUAGUCUUUGCCCAUCUCCCACGAUGGGCUUUUUUUUAA
rnacentral:other from 1 species